GCGAUAUUUUUGAAUCGUCUGUUCAUCAUUAGUACAUUAAAGCCAUUUUCCUGUGAUCGUGAAGUUGACAUUUGUUCCGUAGUCGCGAAAGGGCGCAUCGAUUGAGAUUGGCAGUACGAAAAAUGGAGUAAUGGGCUUGUUUACGGCGGACGAAACGCAGUGCUGCUGGAUCAGGGUAUAGACCUUGUUCGAAAUAUCAAUCCAACAUGCAUUCAGACAUGAUAUUGAUGGAUUCGAAGCGGAUAUAUACCCCGAUUAUUGGAAGUAUGUAUAGUAUUGGCGGCGAUAGUGCUUACUAAAUGAUAUUAGCUUAAUAAAUUAUGUUCGGCUAACUCGAACGGAAAAACUUAGUUUUUUUUUUUUAUUGUUUUUACCCUUGAUCGAAUAACUUCAACUAAAAGCACAUGUCAACAAAAGCUAUAUUUAUACGAUUAGUAGAUACGUUCAACAAAACGUAAUUAUAUAAUUUUAUAUGUGUAGUCGGAGAGGGGGCUGUUUUGUUUUUUACAAGAAUAUCGUCUCAGCGUGCUUUUCUAUUGCCUAAAAUAUUUGUUUUUAGGACGAGUUACAUCUUGUCGAAUUUGCUAUAUGCCUUAUCAUUAAUUGGUUUAGUAGGGCUUUGAGAUUAACUUGGUAAACGUAGAGGUUCAUACGCAUAGUCUCAUAUAUUUCGUGCAUGUACAGGGCACACCCUUCACGACGAAAUCGAAAACCAGUAAGUAAUACGCCACCGGCUUCGGUGUCAAUGGGAGCCCCUCCAAUACAUGUCCGUAAGUAUCGCAGGAAAAAGUUUCACAGAGCUACAUGAAGUUGAAUGCACUGCGCACUAGAGGAUACCGGCGCGGAAUGAGCGCAUUGAGCUGUUAUGGAUAAAUAAAUGAAUAAACGAACGUCUACAGACAUUGAAAAGAUGAGUGGCUAUGACACGCCAUCCGUUUUUGCUGUCAACGACAAAUUUAGAGCCAGGCUAAGUAAGCAUAUAUAUAUAUAUAUAUAUAUAAUAAGUAAAUAAGACAGAACGAGAGACAUUUUCGACGUUUAGUGGCUGGCAGGAACGAGUGGAUGGAAAUGUGAAAAAGGUACCGAAAAACGUUUAGAUGGAACGCUUCAAACAAAAGGCAGUAAACACUUUGUAUAUCCAUGCGUUCCUUCCUCUGGCAGUCAGUUAUUAGCUAUUAUUUGACGCCAUAUUCGAAAUGAGUGUGAGAUUAACUUGCAAUGGAAUCUUUUUAUACACGGCGUACCGCUCUAUGUUACAUUGCUUCAUAAUAAAGAUGCUAUACAAUUUCCUAAUCAACUCUGUAGUAGCGCACGUACUAAAUAGCUAACUGUAUCUAUGUGGCUUAUGGACACAAAUAAAUCAUCAGCAUACUGUCGUAAUAUACGAUAGGGUAGCUGCGAAUUAAUAUGGAUUCUUAAUAUAGUACAAAUUUUUAGUAAAUCAUCCGCUAUAUUUGCCAUAUAGGAUUUAAUUCAAGCUCGUGUAUAGGUUACGCAUCGAUAUGGUCGGACGCUAUCCGAUUAUGAACUAGUAGUUCUCACAAUCUUUACAUUUUUCGGAAGCUAAUUAAUCCUUAAAGAUGUUGGUAUUCGUUUGAAUUGAAUUUCACAAAUCAUUUCUACUGAUCCAGCUUCGAUCCUCGUACCUGAUAAUUUCAUAUAUCGUAUGUGUGCAGCUUCAUGAGACAGAAUAUUCCAUGUUACGUAAUUGGUAAAGUGUAACGCAAUAAUAAUAGUUUUACCCUUUACUGCAGGCAUUGCGACGAAGCGUUAGUUCUCUUGUCCGUGUUCCUUCUGUGUUACACUGUUUACGUGCCAGCUUACGAUGUUCAAAAUAAUCCUACACGCAUCGAUCAUCACAAACCUUUAUGGUUUGCCAAAUGAAAAAAGUUACUACAGAGAAUGUCCAUAACGUUUGUAAAUAUAGAACGGAACACCAGCUACAUUGUGUAUACUGUUUAUUAAAAAGAAGAUGUGAAGAUAAAAAGCAGAUUUAGGUUAGGAAACACGAAAGUCCUUUAUGAAUGAAGUGUUUUCACAGAUGCUCUACCCAUCCAUCUAUCGCAUUUUGCCUAGAAAAUACUUAAUUAAGCCAUCAUUGUAAACGUUUCAAAAACAAGUUAAACAGCUCCAAUACCUGAAAACCCGCUAUGUGUAGAGAAAGAAGCUGUUCGUCUAUUGGGUUCCUUAAGUGCCGGUUAAAUAUACUUGCAUGAUUGGCUGAACGUCAUCGGUUAUUAUAAACUAGGAGUGAUUAGAUUUAUAAUUGAUGCUUCUUUUUAAAAAGCGUUUGAAUUAGUGGUAGAACACAACAGAUUUCUUUUCGUGAAAAAUAAGAAAAGCCGUUUUCAGAAGUAGCUUUUUA
rnacentral:lncRNA from 1 species